rnacentral:rRNA from 1 species
UACGUAGGGAGCAAGCGUUGUCCGGAAUCAUUGGGCGUAAAGCGCGCGUAGGUGGCCCCGUAAGUCCGCUGUGAAAGUCAAAGGCUCAACCUUUGAAAGCCGGUGGAUACUGUGGGACUUGAGUACGGAAGAGGCGAGUGGAAUUCCUGGUGUAGCGGUGGAAUGCGCAGAUAUCAGGAGGAACACCAAUAGCGAAGGCAGCUCGCUGGGACGGUACUGACGCUGAGACGCGAAAGCGUGGGGAGCAAACAGG